GUAAAUCAUCGAUGUUCCCACUGUAGACUGCAGAGAGAAAUAGCUUUCAUCAUGUUCAGACUUCAUAUCUGGUUCACUUUUCUCAUUCUUUUAAUGAACUGGGCUGGUACUGAGGGUCAAACACUGACUGAGUCUGAAUCAGUGGUUAAAAGGCCUGGAGACUCCCACAGACUGACCUGUACAUACUCAGGGUUCA